rnacentral:rRNA from 1 species
UAGAUAAAGUAAUUAAGAGCUUUUGGUGGAUACCUAGGCAUUUAGAAGCGAUGAAGGGCGUGGUUUACCAACGAAAUACUUCGGGGAGCUGGAAGCAAGUUUUGAUCCGGAGAUACCCGAAUGAGGAAACUCCUAUGUACUUCUUUUCGAAUUUAUAGAAAAGAAAGAGCAAACCUAGUGAACUGAAACAUCUUAGUAACUAGAGGAAAAGAAAGCAAUAGCGAUUCUCUUAGUAGUGGCGAACGAAAAGGGAAAAGCCUAAACUACCUAUAUUUUAUAUAUAGGUAGGGUUGAGGGGACGAAUUUAUAUGGAUGAAAACAAAAUUAUUUGAAAUGGUUGGAAUCCCAUACAGUAUAAGGUGAUAGUCCUGUAAAUUAAAAUUCUGUUUUUAUCUAGUUUGUACCCCAAGUAAUAUGGGACACGAGAAAUCCCGUAUGAAUCAACGAGGACCACCUCGUAAGGCUAAAUAUUCCUAAAUGACCGAUAGUGAAAUAGUACCGUGAGGGAAAGGUGAAAAGAACCCCGAGAGGGGAGUGAAAUAGAACAUGAAACCAUUAGCUUACAAGCAGUGGGAGGACGACUUAACGUCUGACCUCGUGCCUGUUGAAGAAUGAGCCGGCGACUUAUAAGUAGUGGCAAGGUUAAAGCAGUGAAUGCUGGAGCCAUAGUGAAAACGAGUUUGAAUAGAGCGCAAUUACUGUCACUAUUUAUAGACCCGAACCCGAAUGAUCUAACCAUGACCAGGAUGAAGUCUAGGUAAUACUAUAUGGAGGUCCGAACUGACUGAUGUUGAAAAAUCAGCAGAUGAGUUGUGGUUAGUGGUGAAAUGCCAAUCGAAUUCGGAGCUAGCUGGUUCUCCCCGAAAUGUGUUUAGGCACAGCAGUUAAUUCUAUAAUUUAGGGGUAAAGCACUGUUUCUUUAAGGGCUAUGAAAAUGGUACCAAAUUGAUGCAAACUCUGAAUACUAAAUGAGUAGUUAACUAGUCAGACUGCGGGGGAUAAGCUCCGUAGUCAAAAGGGAAACAGCCCAGAUCACAAGCUAAGGCCCCAAAAUAUUUGCUAAGUGGUAAAGGAAGUGAAAACGCUUAUACAACUAGGAGGUUCGCUUAGAAGCAGCAAUCCUUUAAAGAGUGCGUAAUAGCUCACUAGUCUAGCGAUUUUGCACCGAAAAUGAAUGGGACUAAGCAAUUUGCCGAAGCUGUGGGAUAUAACAUUAGUUUAUCGGUAGGGGAGCGUUCCGUAAUAGAUUGAAGCGUUAACGUUAGUGGACGUGGACUAAUCGGAAGUGAGAAUGUCGGCUUGAGUAGCGAAAACAUUGGUGAGAAUCCAAUGCCCCGAAAACCUAAGGUUUCCUUCGGAAGGUUCGUCCACGAAGGGUAAGUCAGGACCUAAGAUGAGGCUGAAAAGCGUAAUUGAUGGAUAAUAGGUUAAUAUUCCUAUACUAUUUAUCAUUUAACAGAGAGUGACGGAGAAGGCUAAAUCAGCCAGAUGAUGGUUACUGGUUAAAAUAUCCAAGGCGAUGAGAAAUGGUGAAAAUAUUUUGAGCUAAGGUAUGAAAGCAUUUACUUACGAGUAAUAAAUGAUUGAUGUCACACUUCCAAGAAAAGCUUUUACUGUUGUAAGAAUGGUAAAUACCUGUACCUCAAACCGACACAGGUAGGUAAGUAGAGUAUACUAAGGGGCGCGAGAUAACUCUCUCUAAGGAACUCGGCAAAAUAGCCCCGUAACUUCGGGAGAAGGGGUGCCUGCAAAGGCUGCAAUAAAAAGGCCCAAGCGACUGUUUAACAAAAACACAGGUCUCCGCUAAGUCGUAAGACGAUGUAUGGGGGCUGACGCCUGCCCAGUGCCGGAAGGUUAAAGAAGUUGGUUAGUUUUUAUAACAAAGCUAGCAACUGAAGCCCCGGUGAACGGCGGCCGUAACUAUAACGGUCCUAAGGUAGCGAAAUUCCUUGUCGGGUAAGUUCCGACCCGCACGAAAGGCGUAACGAUUUGGGCACUGUCUCAGAGAGAGACUCGGCGAAAUAGAAUUGUCUGUGAAGAUGCGGACUACCUGCACCUGGACAGAAAGACCCUAUGAAGCUUUACUGUAACUUGAGAUUGAGCUUCGAUUUUUUCUGCGCAGUAUAGGUGGGAGGCUGUGAUUUUAUUUUUUUGGAAAUAAAAGAGCCAUCAAUGAGAUACCACUCUGAAAAUAUUAAAGUUCUAACCUCUGUCCGUUAUCCGGAAGAGAAACAGUCUCUGGUGGGCAGUUUGACUGGGGCGGUCGCCUCCUAAAAAGUAACGGAGGCGCGCAAAGGUUCCCUCAAACUGGUCGGAAAUCAGUUGUAGAGUGUAAAGGCAUAAGGGAGCUUAACUGUGAGACAAACAAGUCAAACAGAGACGAAAGUCGGCCUUAGUGAUCCGACGGUGCCGAGUGGAAGGGCCGUCGCUCAACGGAUAAAAGUUACUCUAGGGAUAACAGGCUGAUCUCCCCCAAGAGUUCACAUCGACGGGGAGGUUUGGCACCUCGAUGUCGGCUCAUCGCAACCUGGGGCGGAAGUACGUCCCAAGGGUUGGGCUGUUCGCCCAUGAAAGCGGUACGUGAGCUGGGUUCAGAACGUCGUGAGACAGUUCGGUCCAUAUCCGGUGUAGGCGUUAGAGUAUUGAGAGGUUCUCUUCUUAGUACGAGAGGACCAGAAGAGACACACCUCUAGUGUGCCAGUUAUUGUGCCAACGGUAAACGCUGGGUAGCUAUGUGUGGAUUAGAUAACCACUGAAAGCAUCUAAGUGGGAAGCUUACCUCAAGAUGAGUACUCUUCCUUUUAUAUAGGUAAGGUCACAGCUAGACUAGCUGUUUGAUAGGCAUUAAAUGUAAGUGUAGUAAUGCAUUUAGUUGAAGUGUACUAAUAGACCGAUAGCUUUGUCUAAUAU